AGAGGGAGCUUCCCUGGGGGGUUCUCAGCUGGAUUAUGAUAAUGUGGAGGAGCCUGCCUUGAACGACGUCCCCCAGACUCCAGACGGCCGAGAUGCCCCUGCCCUGCCUGGAGAUGUCCCAGGGGCUGGUUAUGAUGAUGCCAGAGAAAUGUCUGACCCUGAAGAUGACCCUAGUUUGGGGCAGAAUGAUGAGGAAGGCCCUGGGGUGAGUGACAGGAACAGGGAUUCACAGACAGGCUGGAGUCUGCACUCGCUAAGGAAUGAAGGUGUCUCUGUGACAGAGAAAGAAACCCUGUUCCUGCCUCCUGGAGACCCAAGUUAUGAUGACGUGGGACAUGGUGACUCUGGGGGAUCAGUAUCAGAACAAUGUGAUUGGACCAAAUAACCUUGGGAUGAUGUAAAAGCUUUGCCUCUUUCUCUGAGAAAUGCUCCCUCUGGCAUGAUGCCCAAAGACAGUCCCUGCCUGGUAGACAGACAAAGCAGGU